rnacentral:misc_RNA from 1 species
UACGAAGGCGCCAAGCGUUAUCCGGAUUUAUUGGGCGUAAAGCGUCCGCAGGCUGGUUGUUAAGUCUUUGCUUAAAGACCAGUGCUCAACACAGGGAAUGGCAAAGAUACUGGCAAACUAGAGGCCGGGAGAGGCGAGCGGAACGUGUGGUGUAGGGGUAAAAUCCGUUAAUAUCACACGGAACACCAAAAGCGAAGGCAGCUCGCUGGAACGGUCCUGACGCUCAUGGACGAAAGCGUGGGUAGCGAACGGG